rnacentral:lncRNA from 1 species
AUGGGAUGGACCCAGUGGGAGGUAAUUGCAUCACAGGGCAGUUACCCUCUUGCUGUUCUUGUGAUAGUGAGUGAGUUCUCAGGAGGUAAGAUGGUUUUACAUUGGGCUUUUCUUCUUUCACUAGGCACUUCUCCUUUCUGCCACCACAUGAAGAAGAAUAUAUUUGCUUCCUCUUCUGCCAUAAUUGAAAUGAUCAGAAAGCACUGGAAAUAUAUCCUUGCUGCUGUUAUCAGCUAUUCAACUGUCUUCUUCCAAUGAGAAUUGAAAUUCUUUGAAUAGAGAAAAAAUACUUGGGAAUUCAAAGGGCUCGGUUUACUGGAAUGGAAUGGGGAGCAUUAGUGCUGCUAGGAGAUAAAAGAAGGGUAUUUGAAAAUGCAAAGUCCAAUCCUGUGUAAUGAGAACUGAAGUAGGUGAGUGUAUAAAUCAAUCUG